CAUGAAAGAGAAGGUUUCAUCUUGAUGUCUGCAUUACUCAGGCAAUGUCGGGGAACAAAAAGUGGAAAUCAGAUCGCUGGCGGAGAAUCGGCGGUGGAUCGACGUCGGAGAGGCUAAUGGUUUCGCCGUGGAAGGAUUGCGAAACUUCUUCCACUGAGAAAGGAAUGCUGUACAAUACCGGAAAUCGACUUGCUUUCAGGAUUCGAGAGUAAUUAGGGAGAGAAAUUGAGAAGAAAGCAAGAAACUUUUUCUGCCAUUAACUCUGAAAAUUUCCUUAGCUUACCUUGAAUCGACGUCUAGCAAGAAAGAAGGGACCUGUAGAGUGAUAAUGUAUGUCAUCAAAUGCCGAAUUUUCUCACCAAUUAUGUAUUUUCACCAAUAGAUAUGGUUCGAAGUAGUACCAGAAACUUCACCGCUUGCCUAAUGUGUUGAAGUUCAUCCCAUGGUGAUCGUGCUGCCUGUAGGAGACAACAAAAAAAAACGAAAAAUAACAAUGCACCACUGCUCUAAUUCAUGCAAACCCAUUUUCAGAUAUUCUCCGUUGCUAAACGAACAACACUCUCGGCGAAGCAACAAACUGCCAGAAGAUAAACGUUGUAAUUCAAGCAACCUCGUAACUAAGUAUGGGACCUGGAGAUCGUGAAGACUUGGUCAACGAACAGAAAAGAAAAAUUUAAGCUUGAGAUGAAAGUCUUCGAAAGUGCAUUCUCUUACAUGAUUCUCUGCCAUAAAGGUCAAGGCUGCCACAGAUCUGCCGUUAUCAAACCUUCUCUCGUCAGUGAGGCAUGUCAUCAGCACAUCAUGGCUCUCCUGUCCAAAGUUUUGCACCUUUGCGGAUCCAAAAACUUCUUCAGGAGGCACUGUCUUUUCUUCAGCAGCUGUCUGUCUUCGAAGAGAUUCAUUUUCUGACUCUAAAAUUGCAACCCUAUCCUUCAGGCUGAUAAGAGGUACUGAAAAUUUUCAAAUUCACACAGUUAUGAAGAAUAGAAUGUACUAAGAUGAGAGAAUUGUUCAGCUCCCAAGACUGUACCUGUUUAAGUGUCCAGACUCUUCGGCGCUUGUUGAAGCGGCCAAGGCCUGUUGGCGCAAGACCUGAUUUUCGGAUUCAAGGUCUGACAGGUUGUGGAGUCAAUGUCAUAGUUUAUACCUUCUCAAUAAGAUCUAAGACAUCCUGGUUGUCAACAAAUUCAACAUAGCUCCAGUCUAUUUCCUCCCUCGUGGGUUGGAUUUACUCACCAAUCAAACAGCCUGGAGUAAACUGUCUUGGCUAAAGCAUCACGGUUUAGGGCGGCUGAUUCAGGGUCAAGUGGCUUUGUGAUGUUACCAUCCGGAGUGACAAUUACACGCUUGCAGAGUGAAUCCUCGAGCAUCUUCUCAUUGCACCUGCGUCAAGUGAAUAAUUGAAAAUCUGUCAUUAGAACUGUGCAGAAUUUUCGAGGUGUAAAUGUUUAAGGAUUGGUAGAUGAAGAUACAUGAGUAGCUCUGCUGCUGUUUGAAGAUGAUAUCUUGAUUUAUCAUCCCUG